rnacentral:sRNA from 1 species
UGGCUAUGGACGUCCUUUUCGUGUCUACAAGAAUGCAAGUUGGUGUGUGUGGUUAGAAGAAGUCCUCUCGAGGAUGAACAGGCUUCAGGCUUUGAAUAUAUCGAUCGUGCAUAAGGAUAUACCUCAACUACAGUACCGGCAUAUUGGCCAGUUCGUGUUCUAGAGACUCAUGACCGCAAAGGGUGAAGCAAAGAUUUGCAAGUUUGACGGCUGACCAGCAGAGCGCGGGACCAUCUCUAAAGACUGAGCGGAAGGGAGCGAUACUGGUGCCGGUGAUGCGUUUUGCCGAUCCACCACACCAUGUUAUUCGAAAGACCCUUACCCGUCGAUACAAAUCCGCGAGGAAGGCGAGCAAACAUGGCGAUGAAUAAUAGUGGCCAAUUUCUCUGUCCAAGGCCACCACAGUACAAUGAACCUCGUGACAACCAUUCGUUUAGGAGCUGAAAUGAGAUAUAAAUCCCUCCUAUGCUGUUUCAACUGCCUAGCAGACGAGACAGGAGCACUAUUUCUCUAAUAUAAUGGCAUGUCCAGCGGCUAGCUUCACGCAGCCACAUAGGGUGCCAAACUACGGUUUAUAUCUAUAACAAAGUUUCUUCUGUGACAACCUGAAACUACAGGAGGGAGAAAGACACCCUCCAUAUAGAUGCGGUGUUCGUGACCUAUAUCUGGUUUAUACUCAUAUAUCUGAACACCUUCGGGGUCUCUGUGAGGAGAUACUGCCUGAGGCAGAUCUAACAGAUAAUUGCGAUAGAAGAAAAUAGUGGCGGAACUAUACUUGCAUGAGAUUGAGUUGGGAUGGAUCUACCUCACCACGCGCGCGGUCUGAUCAUUCUCCAAAUUGAAUUGACCACCCCCUGUCAUAUGUCACUAUUAUAACUCCCAGGAAACGUGCCGAAUUAGUCAUCCUCGAUCAUAUCUGCAUAUAUAUUCAGCGAGUUCCCGAUGGUAUCAAUGAUAGCCCAAGUCUGCGCCCCUUUGAAGAUUUUCGCCCACACACGCAACACACCCGCAUUGAUCUGCUUGAUCAUGGCAGGGGAUCCAAGAGUCAGGUUCGACGCAAUAGCAAACUCCGUCUCGUCCAGCAUCAUCUUCACAAGGGCGCCGAUCCUCCGCUCAUCAUAUGAUACUGGCGGAUCUGGAUUUGGCUGCGAGAGCGCUUCCAACCAUUUGCUCAGUAAAAUGGCAGACUCCAAGGAACACAGUAAGUGUUGAAUUGACCAGAUAAAAGUUUGUGUUUGUGCUACGAGUCGAAUACCGAUUUUAAUCGGAAUACUUAAUGCCCGAGCGGAAUGUAAGACGGCGCAAACAAGUUUUGGCGUGCGUUUGACCCGCGGGCUUGUGCGGAGUGCCUUGGCUAUCUGUAUUGGAUCUCGAGUGUCAAGCGCUAUUCCAGGUCCCGUAUAAAUGUUCAACCUAAUAUAAGCAAGACGUAAAAGCGCAGUUGAGUUGAAGGCUACUGGUCCGUCUGGGUGCUGGGGAUCAAGGGAUGAUUGAGGACUACGCUUGCUGCCAGUUUGCCAGUUCCAUAGUGCUUGCUCGGUUGCUGCUAUGUCUUCCGGCGCGACAUCGCGGUUACCAUCGAAUCUACCGCGAGAAAAAUGACGGAGACAAAAUAUAUGCUGGAGUAUGGCAUGGAUCAAAAUAUAGUUACCCAAGGAUGAAUUGCAUUCCGUGAUCGCGUUACCGCCAUGCGAGAACAGGCGAUUCAAAGCUGUCUGGAAGCUCAUUUGAGGGCCAGCUUUUACCCUCGCUUCCAUCCAUUUGAGACGACUCGGAGCUUUGAACUCAGCCGCACUGCAUGGCAGAUAAAGAUUGAGCUCAGAAUUAAGGAUAGGUGAAGGAAUAUUAUACACUAUGCAAUGGAGGUUGAAAAAACAGUAGGCGAUGAAUUUCGUCCGUUUGAUGCUUUCAAGCUCUAUCCAAUCAUCCCAGGAGAUAUCAUCAGGCACAGGCUGGCUGCGGAGGCCAUCAUCACGGACGAGAGUAAAUAACAUGCUCUGCAGGGCAAGAGCUUCUCGGAGUAAUUCCUUGUGUUUCGCCCACGUUGCUAGGGCCAUCAAUAUUAGAAGAGCCUGGGUUGGUUGGAUCAGAUCUUGCUUGUCUGAAGUCACCAGCAACGAUGAUGGCGGUUCUGGCUGUAGACCAAGCCGUUUGGGCAUGUCCUGGCAUGGAUGUGUGUGGAGAGCUGCAGAAUUAUCUAUACCUUCGGCAGAAGAAGCUAACUCUGUCUCUGCUUGGCGCUGCAUUGCCGCAAGCUUCGCAUCUCUACGCCCUAUGCGCGUAAUUGCAAUUUUCUUGCUAGCAUACAACAAUUCAAUCGCCCUUUCAUUUUCAAAACAGUACUGCGCCCCCACAGCAGCCAUGGCGAGAAUGAGCUCUACAAGGCAAUGGCCGAUCGACAUUGUGGAGACGUGCAGGAACGGAAAAUGCUCAUGGAACCCGUUGAUAUAGCUAGCGAUGUAUCGGGACAGUGCGAGACGAGAAGGCAACUGAAACCCUGACGGCAUCACUGAAGAAAAGUCUUCUAACCUGGACAAAAUAUCCUGCCUGUCAUCGAGUGAAACCUUGGACAAAGGUUUCCGUGAUGGAAUCGUUUGUCCAGUCUGAUAUUUCCGGUCUUCCUGCAAGAUAGAUGGAACGCAUGGACCCAACCGGGAUAACGAGUCAAUUUCUUCCGCCUUGUCCGAAUUUCGUGGGUAGCGGAUAGUGGACGGCGGUCGAAUAUCUGCAUCAAGGCCAUCUGGAUGACAAGUUGGUUCUAACCAAGAAAAAGGCACCGGAUGCUCCACGCUCACCAUCGACGCAGACUGGUAGGGAGAGCGUGCCUCGUCAUCUAGGAAGGCAGCUAGUUCGUUUAUAGAAUGCCUCAGAUCUGUUUUUGCAGCAUGGCUGUCCUUCAUCGCCAAAGACUCUGGUGGUCUCCGAACCGGCUCACUUUUGCUGUGUCCCAUAUUCUCUGGGACAAUAUGGGCAUGUGUACUGGUUAUUCUAUCGGGCAUCUGCGAAGCUACAUGUUCAGCGGCCAUUGUUAGUGUCGCCAACGGGUACUUGUUGGUAUCAGGGGCAUCUGAGAGCACGUCGGCACCCAGAAAUAUUUUCCUCUGCCCAUCGUCGAUUGUAAAUGGUGGUAGAGUCAUUGGAGAAGCCGUAACGGAUGAGAUAGCUGAAGGAGCUGAUUUCUUGGAUGUUGGUUUACGCGGCUUGGAAGGGGUUCGUGGCUUUUUUCUCGACCCGUCAUUAUUGUGUGAAAGGCGUUCAUGUCGGAUCAAUAGAUCACUGUUUGAUUCGGUCAGCGGGCCUGUCGCAAUUAUGAUUUCCAGCCAAAAAAUGAGCGAUUCUGGGAAAAACCUAUACCCACCUUCGAGUAAACCGAUGGUCGCAUAAUUGACAGCAGAAAGGCUUUUCUUGGGUAUCUAAAUAUAACAUAUGAUGCGCACAAAGUUAAAACAAGUUUCAAUAUUUCAAUCAGAUUGAUUUUAUAUCGGAAACGGUUGCUUGUGCUCACGGAUUCUCUCAUGGCGCUGGAGAUGUUCGAGUCGUGCAAAUCGCGUCUCACAGCGCAUACAUUGGAAGCGUUUUGGUUUCUUUGUCGCAGCUGUUUCGCCGAUGGUCCCCUCUUGCGGCUCCUCAUGUUUUGCAGUGGGAGGAUCGAGCAUGAAGACAGAUGGGGCUCACGAACGCCGGCACAGAGUAACUGACUUGCAGCAGGCAAAGAUAUUCAGAAGAGAGCACACAAGCAAUGCACGCAGUCCUAGAACUACUUGAACCACGGACUUUGUCUGUUGGGGGGAUAUGAAGCGUACGGGCUCUCGGGGUCAGUCAGGCGCAUGGAGCCGCGAACCAACGGGCAAACCACAUUGUUAUCUUUGGAAGCGGGGAAGGUUGGGGAAAUUGACAAAGCCACAUUUUACAGAAACAUUGCCCUAAACAUGUUAGGUUGUUGAAUCACUGAGCUCAUCACAUCAUUGGAGCUCGCUGUUAUUGGAAUCUUCUUCUGUGGUUGUCACUCCGCGCUGUAGUACGCAGGGCAUGCACUGAGUCUAAGUUAUCUAUGGCCUAUCAGAGAAAUGCACGAGGAGUCACUCACACGACCAUGAUGAAUACAUCAACGACACUACUCCAUACUCUGCAUAAGAGCGCAACCAACCUCAGCCAUUUCGCUAGUUCCGAGGCUAAAGAAUGAUCCGUCGGCUCUUCCUGAGUCUUUCACAUGCACAAUGGAACAAGCUACAUCGAUAACCCUUGCAUCCGCCAACUCGUUCCGGUCACGGCCUGUGGGUGUGCUGAUGAUGAACAAAGCCACAAUGUUUGCUCCAUCCCCAGGUGUGCGGGGUUUUGUGUGUUGGCCUGUCGAUUCGUCGUCAACGACCAGCAAGAGCGACUUCCGGUCUUUUGACCAGCUGGGAUGGGUUAUGUAUACUGAGGCAGUCGGUGUUCAAGAAGUAGCUUACGAGUAUGGAGGAUGGCGGUGAUAUUUAGGCUUGCUUACGCAGCGUAAACAGUGAGAUGGGACACGGUCUGUAUGCGAAAACCAUCAACAGCGCCUGUAUACAAGUUGCCGCGUUAGUUAGCUCUGUACUUGGACGACAGUCGCAUCAACAUCUCAGACAAGUCAACUUAGUGUCAGCUAUGACGUUCGCUCGUUAUCCAUAUCGUUAUCGUUAUCGUUGUCGUCAUGGCUGGAGAGUUCCCCAAUCGGCAACCAAAGCAGCCGGGGACGAUUCGGCAUCGGCCUGCCCCGCCAUUUGCCGGAGAUCAGGUUCCAGCACCCGCACAGCCGGGUCCCGUCGUUGCCAUUGUUGGAGACACGGCUCUGGGGUUUGUUCUGCUCAAAACAAACCUCCUAGUGACUUGCAAGUUACCGCUCCAAAAUUAUAGCUAGGCUAAUCCCCGCUUCCCCUUUCACGCAGUAUGUAUGUGAAUUGAUUUCUCUAAUACAUACAAUAUGCGGACAGCUCAAUCAUGUCAGUCAUAGGAGGAAAGUUGAUAAACUCACUGACAGACGAACACAUUUCUCAAGUGUCCUAGCACGACAUGGGAAUGACAGGAGAUAAAAUAAAAAAACCUCAAUGAAGAAAAUUGAUAACAGACUACCCGGAACGGCAGUUCACAAUAGCCCUCCUUGUGCUGUACAUUCAUAUGAACGUCCCAGAAAGUGAACGAUAGUGUAAAUAAUACAAGAUUUACGCCCCAUCUAUCUCUAUCUCUCUGUUCCCAGUUCCAUAUGCAUCACAAUUGAGAAAGAAACAAAAAAAUUUCUCCAAAAGUGCAGUCUAACACAAAAAGUCCCCCUCAUUCAACCACCCAGCCCCAAUAGCAAAAGCCACAAGAUCCCCCGCGCAAUGCAAAUCCUCAAUUCCGCUUUCGACGCUUAGCAUAUCCGCCGUUGUCUGAAGGCGAAUUGCUAAUUCCCCUCCCAACAUUUGCUGAUGCCGCGGCCGUUGCUGACAGCUCAUAGCGGCAGGGUCCAAUUGUUUUCUUCCAUCAUCACCGUCACCAUUAAUCCCCACACCCGUUUUAACUUGACGAAUCGCUUUCUUUGAUGACUUGGGUGGUGGAGAACCUGCUCCACCAACAGUGUCACCAUUUUCAUUAGAGUAUGUGGUAUUGUUUUGUAGUUUGUGAUUUGCCGGACGGGGCGUAAGUGGUAGCCGUUGUUGUGGCUGUCGUUGCUCAGCCACCCGGUAUGCACAGGCUGGCUUCAUUUUCUUCAAUAACAUCCGUAGCAGAAAUGAAAGCCAGAUGAGGUUCGUUCUGGGGUUAUAAUCCUUCCAUUGCAGGGGUCUAGAAGGGGGUUGUGUAGAGUUGAGGAGAUUGUCUUGAUGAUAUAUUUCGGAUCGCAUA